rnacentral:lncRNA from 1 species
GCCAGUGUUGCAGGGAGUGGCGGAUGAUGGACACAGAUGGGACACCCUGCGCGGGGAAAUGUUCCGCCUCCUGGAGGACCUGUGGGCAGGAAAAGCGUCCUCCUGUGAGCCCUGCCCCGAGGGCUGGCUGGCGUUUGAGGGUUCCUGCUACAAGUUUCGACAGACCAGCGCCACUGGGAUGACGCCAAG